rnacentral:rRNA from 1 species
UGCCAGCAGCCGCGGUAACACGGGGGGCGCAAGCGUUAUUCGGAAUUAUUGGGCGUAAAGGGUGCGUAGGCGGUCAUUUAAGUCUUUGGUGUAAGUGCAAGGCUCAACCUUGUGAUGUUAAGGAAACUGGAUGACUUGAGUGUGAUAGAGGUAAGUGGAAUUCCAUGUGUAGCGGUAAAAUGUUAUAAUCCUUUCAAGACCAACUAAGGCGAAGGCAUCACACUUGAACGGACCUGACGGUGAGGGUCGAGAGCUAGGGGAGCGAACCGGAUUAGAUA